CAUAAGUAUAAAGGUUUAUUACUUCCACAGAAUUGUUAUAAAUAACAUUGUUUAUGUAAUAAUAAUUUGUCUUGUUGCAUCAAUUUGUCAAGGAGAUGGACGACAGUUCCAAAUACUUUGUUUUCUAGAAGUGUCUUAUUCUCUAAAGUAGAUUCCAGUUCAACUGGCAAAAAAUUUAAAUCAAAGUAUAAUAUAAUCCUUCAACAACAACCAAUUGUCGUUUUGCUUGACUCUGGAAAGAAAUGUGGAGAGAUAACGUUCUAGAAAGAACGUUAUCUCUCCAAAUACAGUUCUAUCUAUAGAAAACAAGGCUGUACCACUUUAAUGUAUAUCGCACUAUCAGGUAUGCUAACUUCUACAAAUUCCUGGAAAAUAUUAAUAACCAAUACCAAAAAACUCGUGAAUCUGCAGGAAGAAAUGGAACUGAUUAUGAAGAAAUGGAAGGAGAAACCGUUAUUUUUUCAUUGCUUCAGUAAUGGAGGAGCUGUAUUGUGCAGUACGACCUUAUUAGAGAAGAUUUAUUUAAAAGAAACGAGAUAUACAACAUCAAAGGAUGUAUUUUUGAUAGUAGUCCGGCAGAAGUUAAAUUGUCUUGUGUGCCGUAUGUUAUUAACAAUGAUUUUAACCGAAACCUAUACCAAGAUAACAGAGUAACAGUAUUCCGACAAGGUGUACUGUUACUCUGUGAACAUCGGAUAACACUAGUUGUCAGUUUUACCCUGUUUUAUCUUUUGUCGGGAAUAAUACAUAUUAACUGAAAAUAGAAUAGUCAUACACCUAUGUAGUAAAUAUAAUAACACAAUUUUAAAAUGUACCAUUAUAUGACAUCACUGAAGAGUGGUUGGGAACAUAAACCAAUCCGAAAUGCAUUUGCAUGAAAAAUUGUUUUAAAUAAGCCGUAACGUUUUCCUAACUAAUUGCUGUUUGGCAGAAUUUGAACAUACAGCAACCAUACUUUCUACAUUACGAUGUAAUAUAUUAAUAUAUGGAAAUAGAUUUAGACCAAACACAUGAUUGGAUUAAAUAUAAAUAUUAUCUUAUUACUAAAUUUUUAUAGAUAAAAAUAAUUUUAUUUUAUUAUUUUAGAUGAAGACUGUCUCUUUUAAAAUAAAUACAUACCUACAU